GAUUUCUGGUAUGAUGUACCUGUCCCGCCACGGUUAACGUGUGUGAGUGACGGUGUAUGUCUGCCAUCCUUCUAGAGAAUGAUAAUAUUAGCCUUCACUGGUUUGAUAUUAUCAAUUAUCUAGAUCUUUUACUUUGAAAAAAUUAGAGUGUUUCAAGCAGGCGUAAUUGCUAUGAAUACAUUAGCAUGGAAUAAUAAUUUAGGACUUCGGUUCUAUUUUGUUGGUUUCUAGAGCUGAAGUAAUGAUUGAUAGGGAUAGUUGGGGGUGCUAGUAUUCAGCGGCCAGAGGUGAAAUUCUUGGAUUCGCUGAAGACUAACUUAUGCGAAAGCAUU
rnacentral:rRNA from 1 species